GAAAACUUACCAGGUCAAGACAUGGGCGUGAUUGACAGGCUAAUGACUUUUCUCGAUUCCAUGGAUGGUGGUGCAUGGUCGCACUUAGUUGGUGCAGUGAUUUGUCAGGUUUAUUCCGGUAACGAACGAGACCUCGGCCUUGUAAAUAGCUAUGCUGCUUACAGGGACAUUGGCGGCUACGCCAAGGAAGCUCGAGGCAAUUGCAGAUCUGGAAUGCCCUUAGAUGUCCUGGGUCGCACGCGUGCUACAAUGACGCCACGAACGAGCUUGCGUGAUGAAAGUUACGCAUAAUCAGCAGUCGGCGUCUUAAGGGAUAGUCUCUUGUAACUGUGGGACUCCAACUAGGAAUGUCUCGUAAGCACAAGUCAACAUCUUGUGUUGAUUACGUCCCUGCUCUUUGUACACACCGCCCGUCGCUCCUACCGAUCGAGUGUUUAGGUGAAUUUGAUGGACGUAAGGAAGUCAAAUAAACCUGAGCACUAGAGAAGAGAAGUCGAUAG
rnacentral:rRNA from 1 species